UUCGGAGACGGUAUGACAGGUGCUGCAUGGCUGUCGUCAGCUCGUGCGUGAGGUGUUGGGUUAAGUCCCGCAACGAGCCGCAACCCCUAUCUUUAGUUGCCAUCAGUUCGGCUGGGCACUCUAUGGAGACUGCCACCUAAAGUGGAGGAAGUGGGGAUGACGUCAAGUCAGCAUGGCCCUUACUCCGGGGCUACACACGUGCUACAAUGGCCGGUACAAAGGGUUGCGAAGCCGUGAGGUGGAGCGAAUCUCAAAAAGCCGGCCUCAGUUCGGAUUGGAGGCUGCAACUCGCCUCCAUGAAGUCGGAAUCGCUAGUAACCGCAGAUCAGCUACGUUGCGGUGAAUACGUUCCCGGGCCUU
rnacentral:rRNA from 1 species